UACAGAGGUCUCAAGCGUUGUUCGGAAUCACUGGGCGUAAAGGGUGCGUAGGCGGCUUGAUAAGUCAAAUGUGAAACACUGGGGCUCAACCUCAGAAUUGCAUAUGAUACUGUCGGGCUAGAGGGCUGAAGAGGAAUUUUGAAUUCACGGUGUAGCAGUGAAAUGCGUAGAUAUCGUGAGGAACACCAAAGGCGAAAGCAAAAUUCUUGGCAGCUCCUGACGCUCAGGCACGAAGGCUAGGGGAGCAAAC
rnacentral:rRNA from 1 species